UACGUAGGUGGCAAGCGUUGUCCGAAUUUAUUGGGUUUAAAGGGUGCGUAGGCGGCCCUGUAAGUCAGUGCUGAAAUAUCCCAGCUUAACUGGGAGGGUGGCAUUGAUACUGCGGGGCUAGAGUACGGAUGAGGUAGGCGGAAUUGACGGUGUAGCGGUGAAAUGCUUAGAUAUCGUCAAGAACACCUAUAGCGAAGGCAGCUUACUAGGCUGUAACUGACGCUGAGGCACGAAAGUGUGGGGAUCAAACAGG
rnacentral:rRNA from 1 species